rnacentral:rRNA from 1 species
GAUGAACGCUGGCGGCGUGCCUAAUACAUGCAAGUCGAGCGAACAGACGAGGAGCUUGCUCCUCUGACGUUAGCGGCGGACGGGUGAGUAACACGUGGAUAACCUACCUAUAAGACUGGGAUAACUUCGGGAAACCGGAGCUAAUACCGGAUAAUAUAUUGAACCGCAUGGUUUAAUAGUGAAAGACAGUUUUGCUGUCACUUAUAGAUGGAUCCGCGCCGCAUUAGCUAGUUGGUAAGGUAACGGCUUACCAAGGCGACGAUGCGUAGCCGACCUGAGAGGGUGAUCGGCCACACUGGAACUGAGACACGGUCCAGACUCCUACGGGAGGCAGCAGUAGGGAAUCUUCCGCAAUGGGCGAAAGCCUGACGGAGCAACGCCGCGUGAGUGAUGAAGGUCUUCGGAUCGUAAAACUCUGUUAUUAGGGAAGAACAAAUGUGUAAGUAACUAUGCACGUCUUGACGGUACCUAAUCAGAAAGCCACGGCUAACUACGUG